rnacentral:rRNA from 1 species
GAUGAACGCUGGCGGCGUGCUUAACACAUGCAAGUCGAAUGGAAAGGCCCAAGCUUGCUUGGGUACUCGAGUGGCGAACGGGUGAGUAACACGUGGGUGAUCUGCCCUGCACUUCGGGAUAAGCCUGGGAAACUGGGUCUAAUACCGGAUAUGACCGCUUCUUGGAUGUUGUGGUGGAAAGUUUUUUCGGUGUGGGAUGAGCGCGCGGCCUAUCAGCUUGUUGGUGGGGUAAUGGCCUACCAAGGCGUCGCCGGGUAGCCGGCCUGAGAGGGUGUACGUCCACAUUGGGACUGAGAUACGGCCCAGACUCCUACGGGAGGCAGCAGUGGGGAAGAUUGCACAAUGGGCGGAAGCCUGAUGCAGCGACGCCGCGUGGGGGAUGACGGCCUUCGGGUUGUAAACUCGUUUCGCUAGGGGCGAAGCGUUUUGUGACGGUACCUGGAGAAGAAGCACCGGCUAACUACGUG